GGCUCAGAGGAGGGAAUAACGUGGAUCUGUAGAUUUGGGAAUCAUCUGUGUUUAGAGGGAAAUGAACAGAGAUCACCCAGGGAAAGAGAACAAACACGUGGGCUGAGAAGAAGGUGGCAGCGCAACUUCCUGGUGGACACCACCACCAGGGCUGUGGAGUCAGGCAGAGCUGGUCUUGAAAGCAAGCGGGCUAUAGGUCUCGGUGUGGAAUGUUCUUGUCAAAGUCAGGUCUGUGAGGCUGUUACCAGCACUGUGCUGGGCUACAAAAAAGGAGAGGAGCCUGUCCAGAAUCCCCACAGGUCAGUGAAGCACUGGACAGGGUCACAGUAGGGUCCAGAGGAGGACACCACCUGGGCAGAAUUGGGGACCCCGCUGUCCACUUCCCAAA
rnacentral:lncRNA from 1 species